CUUCUAACCAAAAUAUUGGACAGAGAGUUUCUAUUGUGGUAAUAUUUUGCUUAAUUAUUAUCCUUAUAGCAGGGAUAAUAGCCACCAACAAAAAAGAAGCAUGGGAGUUUUACUAUCACUGAGUUUGCUAGAACUUCUUAUUGAGUUUGGUAAUAUGUCACACCCUGGCUAUGAAAAGAAGUUUCAGGAAAAAUCUAGCCAAGGCUAACACUAAAGUUACUCUAGCCACCCAAAUCCAAUGUCACUAAUCCUAAAAGGAAUGUUACUUUUAUAUUAAUGUUUCUAGUAAUGUACAACGACAACUAGUGGAAGGAAGCAGGCAUUACAAUCCAUUGGUAUAACUGACAGGUAUCAAACUUCACUGUCAGUUAUGGUCUAUAGGACCCCCACUAACAGUGGUAAUCUUAAUGCUCAUAUUCUGACGCUGUAUUUUAAACCUUCAUGUAAAACUUAUCUCUUUUUACCUAGAAGCAAUCAAACCCCAAAUGGUGCUGUGAGCAGAGCCACACAUGGACACGCCAUUCUUCCGAGAACCCUUAGAUCAACCUCAGGAGAAGGCCGAACUGCUGCUCCCUGAGAUGACACCACUUUUCAGCAGGGAGUAGUCAGAAAUAAUCGUCAUCCAACACCCCCUAACAGCAUUAUCAAAGACAUAUCAGGAAGAUUCUGAGCAUGUGCUUUCAUACGACACCUGUCCAUAUUUGGAAAGAAGUUUAUGAACUUCAAGUUUGGAGUGAUCUUGUAACCUGGCUCUACAGGCCUCAUCCCAGCAGUCUUCGCUUUCAACACCCAGAGAAAGGCUGUCCAGGAGACUAAAACAACUUUACCAGAUUGAAACACUCAAGACAAAGGAGCCCAGGAACAAAAUUCAUCAGAAAACUAGAGGAAGUUUUCAUGGAGUUGCUAAUUAGAAAAGCCUAAAAUUCAUAUGGAACCCAAAAAGACUCAAAUAGCCAAAGCAAUCCUAAGAAAAAAGAACAAAGCUAGCGGUAUCAUAUUACUUGACUUUAAAUUAUGUUACAAGGCCACAGUAACCAAAACAGCAUGGUAUGGGUAUAAAAAUAGAUACAUAGAUCAAUGGAACAGAAUAGAGAACCCAGAAAUAAAGCCACAUGCCUAAAACCAACUGAUCUUUGACAAAGCCAACAAAAAUAUACACUGGGGAAAGAACACCCUAUUCAAUAAAUGGUGCUGGGAAAAUUGGAUAGUCAUAUGCAGAAAAAUGAAACUGGACCCAUAUCUCUCAUCACAUACACAAAUUAACUUAAGAUGGGCCGGAGACCUAAAUGGAACACUGAUGCUAAAUGAAUAUCCUAGAAAAAAAUGAGGAAAAACUCUUCUGGACACUAGCCUAGACAAGGAAUUCAGGACCAAGACCUCAAAAGCAAAUACAACAAAAACAAAAAUAGACACAUGAAACUUAAUUAAACUAAAAAGCUUCUGCGCAGCAAAAGAAAUAAUCAACAGAGUAAACAGACAACUUACAGAAUGGGAGAAAAUACUUGCAAAUUAUGCAUCCAACAAUGGAUUAAUAUCCAGAAUCUACAAAGAACUCAAAAGACAAAAACAAAUAACUUCAUUAAAAAGUGGGCCAAGGACAUGAACAGAAAUUUUUCAAAAAAAGACACGUAAGCAGCCAACAAACAUGAAAAAAAAAAUGCUCAAAGUCACUGAUCAUCAGAGAAAUGCACAUUAAAGCCACAAUAAGAUACCAUCUUACACCUGGAUGUAAAAUACCAUCUUACAUUCUGGAUGGUCACAGAAUGGAUAUUAUUAAAAGUCAAAAACAACAGAUGUUAGCAAGGAUGCAGAAAAAAGGAAUUGCUUAUGCACUGUUGGUGAGAAUGUAAAUUAGUGAAACCUUUAUGGAAAACAGUACGGAUAUUGCUCAAAGAACUAAAAAUAGAACCACCAGUUGACCCAGCAAUCCCACUACUGGUAUCUACCCAAAGUAAAAGAAAUCAUUAUAUCAAAAAGACACCUGUACACAUAUGUUUAUUGUAACACUAUUCACAAUAGC
rnacentral:lncRNA from 1 species